AGAGUUUAAGAGCUGAGAAUUCUGAAGCCUCUGAAGUUCAGUUCUAUUGCAGAGCUGCAGUUAAGCAGGCAAGCUGGCAAGAAACCAGGCAAUUAUCUGCCAUGAAAGUGAUGUGAAUGAAAGACUCCAGUACAAAAAUUUGUCAUUUAUACCAUUUUCGUGUGUACAAAUGUUUUGGAUGACUAGAAACUUAGCUCCAGUUACCAAGGAAGCAUACGGAUGUUGGACUGAUGAAUUGGUCAGAGCAAAGGUCCACAUUGCUCAGGAUCCUUCCUUGUAAAGUUUACAGCAGUACAUCCACAGGGAAUGGAGGAAGCACACGAUGAUAAUUUGCCAAAAUAUUCUUCUGGCCUUCAACAGUUUGCAGCCUGCGGAAUUCCUGAGCCUGUG
ensembl:lncRNA